GUGGGGAAUAUUGGGCAAUGGGCGAAAGCCUGACCCAGCAACGCCGCGUGAGGGAAGAAGGCCUUCGGGUUGUAAACCUCUGUCCUUGGUGACGAAGAAAGUGACGGUAGCCAAGGAGGAAGCCCCGGCUAACUACGUGCCAGCAGCCGCGGUAAUACGUAGGGGGCGAGCGUUGUCCGGAAUUACUGGGCGUAAAGGGUGCGUAGGUGGCCUUUUAAGUUGGAUGUGAAAUACCCGGGCUUAACUUGGGGGGUGCAUCUAAUACUGGGAGGCUAGAGUGCAGGAGAGGGAAGCGGAAUUCCUAGUGUAGCGGUGAAAUGCGUAGAUAUUAGGAGGAACACCAGUGGCGAAGGCGGCUCACUGGCUCGAUACUGACGCUGAGGUGCGAAAGCGUGGGGAGCAAACAGGAUUAGAAACCCGUGUAGUCC
rnacentral:rRNA from 1 species